rnacentral:rRNA from 1 species
GCUUAAUUAUUAAUGAUUUUAUUAUUUUAUAGAUUAUUUAAAUUAUAAAUUUAUUAAUAAUUUAAUUGGGGUAAUUAAAAGAUUAAAUGAAUUCUUUUUUAUUAAUUCAUUAAUUUAUGUUUAACUGAUCCAUUAAUAUUGAUUAAAAGAUUAAGU